rnacentral:rRNA from 1 species
CUCAACUUCCCUUUCAACCCAUUUUUAUUAAAGAGCAAUUCUAUAUCUUUAUAGAAGAUUUAAUGUUAAAACUAGUAAUAAGAAGCAGACCCUUCUCUUUAAUGUAAACUUAUAUCAGCAAGGACACCNCCACUGAUCUUUAACGUCCCUAAAAUUAUAGUAAAAACUUAACAAGAAAACAUUACUCUUAUUUACGUUAACCUUACACAAGAACAUUUUAAGAAAGAUUAAAAGGAAAAGAAGGAACUCGGCAAAUAUUAGCCCCGCCUGUUUACCAAAAACAUCGCCUCUUGAUAAUUUAUAAGAGGUCCAGCCUGCCCAGUGACUCUGUUCAACGGCCGCGGUAUCCUAACCGUGCGAAGGUAGCGUAAUCACUUGUUCUUUAAAUGAGGACUAGUAUGAAUGGCCCCACGAAGGCUACACUGUCUCCUUUUCCUAAUCAAUGAAACUAAUCUUCCCGUGAAGAAGCGGGAAUAAUAAUAUAAGACGAGAAGACCCUAUGGAGCUUUAAACUAUAGAAACAUUUGCUUUAUACCUUUAACCCUCCCGAGAUUUNUCCGAAUAUUUAAGCAAUUUUUAUUUCUAGUUUUAGGUUGGGGUGACCACGGAGUAAAAUACAACCUCCUCGAUGAAAGAGAUUUUCUCUUAGCUAAAAGCUACCUCUUUAAGCACCAACAAAUUGACUCUCAUUGACCCAAUUAAUUGAUCAACGAACCAAGUUACCCUAGGGAUAACAGCGCAAUCUACCUCGAGAGCUCAUAUCGACAGGUGGGUUUACGACCUCGAUGUUGGAUCAGGGUAUCCUAGUGGUGCAGCCGCUACUGA